UCGAACGCGAAAGGGGCUUCGGCCCUGAGUAGAGUGGCAAACGGGUGAGUAACACGUGGGUGACCUGCCUCAGAGUGGGGGAUAACGUUCCGAAAGGAGCGCUAAUACCGCAUGACAUCCUGCGCUUGGAAGCGCGGUGAUUAAAGCCGGGGAUCGCAAGACCUGGCGCUUGGAGAGGGGCCCGCGGCCGAUUAGCUAGUUGGUGGGGUAAUGGCUCACCAAGGCAACGAUCGGUAUCCGGCCUGAGAGGGCGGACGGACACACUGGGACUGAGACACGGCCCAGACUCCUACGGGAGGCAGCAGUGGGGAAUUGUUCGCAAUGGGCGCAAGCCUGACGACGCAACGCCGCGUGGAGGAUGAAGAUCUUCGGGUCGUAAACUCCUUUCGAUCGGGAAGAACGGCUUCCGGGUGAACAAUCCGGAAGAGUGACGGUACCGAGAGAAGAAGCCCCGGCUAACUCCGUGCCAGCAGCCGCGGUAAUACGGGGGGGGCAAGCGUUGUUCGGAAUUACUGGGCGUAAAGGGCUCGUAGGCGGCCAACUAAGUCGGAUGUGAAAUCCCCAAGCUUAACUUGGGAACUGCAUCCGAUACUGGAUGGCUUGAAUCCCGGAGAGGGAUGCAGAAUUCCAGGUGUAGCGGUGAAAUGCGUAGAUAUCUGGAGGAAUACCGGUGGCGAAGGCGGCAUCCUGGACCGGCAUUGACGCUGAGGAGCGAAAGCUAGGGGAGCAAACGGGAUUAGAUACCCCGGUAGUCCUAGCCCUAAA
rnacentral:rRNA from 1 species